GGAGGGAUGGCAGAGCGGACGAAUGCACGGCUCUUGAAAAGCCGCGAGACCUCGGUCUCCGUGGGUUCGAAUCCCACUCCCUCCG
rnacentral:tRNA from 1 species